rnacentral:ncRNA from 1 species
CCUCUAGUCUGGCACUGUAAAGAGACAUGAGAGGUGUAGAAUAAGUGGGAGGCCUCGGCUUGCGCCAGGUGCGACCCGUUCCGGGGACAGUGGCAGGUGGGGAGUUUGACUGGGGCGGUACACCUGUCAAAUGGUAACGCAGGAGUCCUUAGGCGAGCUCAGGGAGGACAGAAGCCUCCCGUGGGGCAGAAGGGCAAAAGCUCGCUUGAUCUUGAUUUUCAGUAUGAAAACAGACCGUGAAAGCGGGGCCUCAAGAUCCUUCUGACCUUUUGGGUUUUAAGCAGGAGGUGU